rnacentral:rRNA from 1 species
AACGAACGCUGGCGGCAGGCUUAACACAUGCAAGUCGAACGGAUCCUUCGGGAUUAGUGGCAGACGGGUGAGUAACGCGUGGGAACGUACCCUUUGCUACGGAAUAACUCAGGGAAACUUGAGCUAAUACCGUAUGUGCCCUACGGGGGAAAGAUUUAUCGGCAAAGGAUCGGCCCGCGUUGGAUUAGCUAGUUGGUAGGGUAAUGGCCUACCAAGGCGACGAUCCAUAGCUGGUCUGAGAGGAUGAUCAGCCACACUGGGACUGAGACACGGCCCAGACUCCUACGGGAGGCAGCAGUGGGGAAUAUUGGACAAUGGGCGCAAGCCUGAUCCAGCCAUGCCGCGUGAGUGAUGAAGGUCUUAGGAUUGUAAAGCUCUUUCACCGGUGAAGAUAAUGACGGUAGCCGGAGAAGAAGCCCCGGCUAACUUCGUG